GACAGAGGGUGCAAACGUUGUUCGGAAUUACUGGGCGUAAGCGCGUGUAGGCUGCUUCGCAAGUCGGAUGUGAAAGCCCUGGGCUCAACCCAGGAAGUGCAUUCGAAACUGCAGAGCUGGAGUCCUGGAGAGGAAGGCGGAAUUCUCGGUGUAGAGGUGAAAUUCGUAGAUAUCGAGAGGAACACCGGUGGCGAAGGCGGCCUUCUGGACAGUGACUGACGCUGAGACGCGAAAGCGUGGGGAGCAAACAGG
rnacentral:rRNA from 1 species